rnacentral:rRNA from 1 species
CCACCAGGACCACACCAUAAACCUUUUUUAUGCAGUUGCAAUCAGCGUCAGUAUAACAAAUGUAAAUCAUUUACAACUUUCAACAACGGAUCUCUUGGUUCUGGCAUCGAUGAAGAACGCAGCGAAAUGCGAUACGUAGUGUGAAUUGCAGAAUUCAGUGAAUCAUCGAAUCUUUGAACGCACAUUGCGCCCUUUGGUAUUCCAAAGGGCAUGCCUGUUCGAGCGUCAUUUGUACCCUCAAGCUUUGCUUGGUGUUGGGCGUCUUUUGUCUUUGGCCUCGCCCAAAGACUCGCCUUAAAACGAUUGGCAGCCGGCCUACUGGUUUCGCAGCGCAGCACAUUUUUGCGCUUGCAAUCAGCAAAAAGGACGGCAAUCCAUCAAGACUACAUUUUUACGUUGACCUCGAUCAGGUAGGAAU